rnacentral:rRNA from 1 species
AUUGAACGCUGGCGGCAGGCUUAACACAUGCAAGUCGAGCGGAGAUGAGGUGCUUGCACCUUAUCUUAGCGGCGGACGGGUGCGUAAUGCUUAGGAAUCUGCCUAUUAGUGGGGGACAACAUUCCGAAAGGGAUGCUAAUACCGCAUACGUCCUACGGGAGAAAGCAGGGGAUCUUCGGACCUUGCGCUAAUAGGUGAGCCUAAGUCGGAUUAGCUAGUUGGUGGGGUAAAGGCCUACCAAGGCGACGAUCUGUAGCGGGUCUGAGAGGAUGAUCCGGCACACUGGGACUGAGACACGGCCCAGACUCCUACGGGAGGCAGCAGUGGGGAAUAUUGGACAAUGGGGGGAACCCUGAUCCAGCCAUGCCGCGUGUGUGAAGAAGGCCUUAUGGUUGUAAAGCACUUUAAGCGAGGAGGAGGCUACUGAGACUAAUACUCUUGGAUAGUGGACGUUACUCGCAGAAUAAGCACCGGCUAACUCUGUGCCAGCAGCCGCGGUAAUAC